GAUGAACGCUGGCGGCGUGCCUAAUACAUGCAAGUCGAGCGGGUGUAGCAAUACAUCAGCGGCGAACGGUGAGUAACACGUGGGUAACCUGCCUCUCAGUCUGGGAUACCCCGAGGGAAACCUCGGCUAAUACCGGAUACUUCUCUUGAAGGCAUCUUCGAGAGAUAAAAACGGCUUCACAGCCGCGCUGAGAGAUGGACCUGCGGCGCAUUAGCUAGUUGGUGAGAUAAUAGCCCACCAAGGCGAGGAUGCGUAGCCGACCUGAGAGGGUG
rnacentral:rRNA from 1 species